AUGGAGCUGGCAAAGCAGAACACAUUUAAAUUAGUGUAGACUUCAUAGGUGAUGUCAUGAGAUCAUUGACCAACAGUUAAAUCACAUUUAAAUGGGCUACACGUUUCUAUAUAUGCAUAUAAGGGGGGCAUUAAGGAGUACAGAAAUAUAACAUCCAUAGUCACCUUUAAUUUCCAUCUAAACUGCCUGCUGUCUUUUGUCUACAGCAACGCUUCUCUCUCAGUAUUUUCCAGUCCUCUGAAAUUGUUCAUCAUUUUGGAUUUUAAGCAUUUUUGCAUGCUGUGUCAAUGGAUUUAUUAUUUUUUUCUUUUAGAAUUUAUUUUUAUUUUAUUUUUUGGGGAAACAAAUCGCUUCAGACAAGUUAUUAUACGUAGCUCAUGGAGGAUUAUGGAACAAACGGACAUACAUUUGUAUUUGACAUCAACUUAAUAUUAUUUUAGUUUUUGAAAUUAGUGAUACAGCUGUGCUGGAGUGACGCUUUCCUACAACCUGCGUCAUUCUGUUUUUGCAGUUCGAUUUCGAAAAUAAGCAUAAAGUUAUUCAAGUAUAAAUUCAUAAAAAGAGCUAUUGGAUAUAUUAUUCAUGUUUUCUUCACGCUAGCAUGUCACUUUUGUUAGCAUAUUCAAACAUAAAAGACAAAUGUAUGACAAAAAAGUUCCAAGUCACCUACUCAAAAGAUGUGGCACUUGUAUCUGGAAAAGGGGCGUUGCUGCUUUGAGAUGUCUGUCAAGAAAUGGAAAAAGCAAUGCAAUUAAGCAAACCUGACUGAAAAAUUAUCACGUAAGUAUAAAUAUUUUUUCCCCUCAGGUAAGCAAAAUAACUCCGAGAAUUAGCAAAACUACUUCUGCGAAUAUUUCCUGUUUAUUGUAAAUUAGCUCUAACUUUAUACAUGUAUGUAUGCAUGUGUUUUCUCUUACUCGGACAUCGAAGUGUUCACAAACAGUCUGCAAAGUUUAAGAAUGCUGCGUGAUUCUCGAUGAAGCUGCUGAUUUAUAAUCGUUUGGAGUGAUGCCAGCGUGUUACCUCACCAGUUAAAAGGGGGGUGGAGGUGGGUGAGGGUGGGGUGAGCUAAAUAGAAGUGUUUCACCUUUGCCUACUUUUUUUUUUUUGCUUUACUUCAGGAAUAAACACUGUGUAUGGUGUACAUAAUGAUGUAAUGAUGCCUACUGAGUCUAUAUGUGUAAUUGUAUAUUAUGUAUAAGUUUGUAUAUUAUGUAAACGUUUACUUCUUUGACAUUUUUAGCAAUGCCACAGUCACAUUUCUGCAUUUUUGUAUUGCAUUGCUACUUGUGUUCAACCACAAAGCCUCACUUAGGGGUGUCUUUUCUGAAAAAUAAAUGAUAUACCUUAUCAAGCGAUAAUAAAAUUACUUCAUUUUUUUUCUUUCUUUUUUUUAAUCACCUGCACUUACAGUGGUUAAAUGGUAACAAUUACAAGCUAAAAAAUAUGAAAAAUGAUUUUAUUGCACACUAUUAAACAAUGUGUCAGUCAGGAAAUAAUAUUGUCGUCUGUUGUACUAUUCAUUUGAGGCUUGCAUCUAGAAGGGGCAGAAUAGCAACAGUAUGUACUGCGCUGUAUGAGAUAUAAACUUUAGUUUAGAAAGCGAUGAAGAAACAGCCAUACACUUUCAUAUGACCGCAAUCUAUUUUUCAACGGAACAAUAUGUUGAAGAUAACAGUGAAUGUAAAAUGUAAUUUAUGAAUCCAUUUAAAUCAUGUCAAGAGUCAAGCUAUUGCUUCACUGUAGGAAACGACUUGGUGCCUCUGUUUUUUUUAAUAUUUUCUUAUAUUUUUGGAUUUUCACCUCAUGUAUGUUUCCUUUCAGUAAGAUUAAAAUUUGGAAUCUUAAUGGAAUAAAUAGUAUUUUGGCAUUUUAAGAACUUUUUUUUUUUCAAUUUAACUACACUAUCUGUUGGAGAAAAAAGUGUGCCCCUUGGGCUAAGGGCCGUGUCUGUGCAGUUUGAAAGAGAGAACCCGCUCAGACAGGACUAGCGCCGUUUUGACAAAGACUGCUGGAAGAAAAAAAAGGCAGGUAACAGGAAGGUAAAGGGUUAACAGCGCAAGCUACAACAGCACCUUAGACUUGAGACGGCGCGUGAAAUCGCCAUUACUGGUUCACUUUAAGGUAGAAGACUACUUGAACAAAACCAGUACUUGAAAUAAAUUGAAUAUGAACUUACCAGACAUCUUUAAAGAUAAAUAAAACACACAAUUCUUCAGGACUUGCUGUCAGACAAAACACUGUCUUUGUGCCUCUUGAUUCAAUUAUAUGGGAAGAAUGAAAUAUCUGUAAAAGUCACAGAAACUCUCAACUUUAAAGUCUGUUUGCAGUCUCAGUGCAUAUAAUAAUAUAGGAAUAUAGCUAGGAAUAUAUAACUUUGAGUUUUACACUUCGGAUCACAACUAUUUAAAACCUCUAGAACCCAAUGAUUUGACAAUCAAUGAUUGCGCGAUACUUUCAAUUUGAAUAUUCAAAGGCUUCACAAAAAGAGACAUAGUUAAGUGCUAAAUCCUAUAUCAAUACAUAAUAGAGGGUCUCUUAUAAUAGAAUUUAAUGAACAUUCACCCCUAGACCCUGAUCAAACAUACAUUUUAGGUCUUUUAUCGAGCUUUUAUUAUAGAUGCAUUGGAACAGUUAGGAGGCACCACUAAUCCAACAUUAUAGACAGGUGCCUGCUCUGAUAGUCUUCAAAAUCUUCCCAGAGGAUGCUGGGAUGAUCAUGCAAUGUAAAAUGAUGGGCAAUGGUGCUUUUUACAUUAUUUAAUAACAUUUUUUGCAAUUUUUUAUUAAAAGUAGUUUCAUAGUGGGCGUGGCAUUCUGCAACGUCUGUCCCCGUGAUGCGUGAGCAGCUCAAUUGGUUUCCUGCUGCGCAUCAGUGCUGCCUGCACAGUAAUGUCUAAGGUUUUAAUCUUUUAUAAUCUGGUUACAGAGCAUAAUAUCACCUUUAUCUUAUUUAUUGAAUUUAUAGGGUUAUACACAACCCUAUUUUUUAAAACAAUUAUAAAUAUGUACAUUCGUUGCAGUAUCACCUUCUUAGUAUCAUCAUGCAGAUUUCAAGUUCUUUUUUAUGGUUUGGAGACUUUGCUUGUCAACCAGAUAUUUGGUUAAAUUAUACAAAUAUUUCUGUUUUCCCCUUUUUGUUUAAAAGGUUGAACAAGGAGAGGGAGAUAGAUAGGAAAGGAAACAACAAAUAAAUAAGCAGCCUUAAAAAGUAGCUUGCUUUUUCACCAUAUUUUGGAGAAAAUGUAUUGUCCAGUCUACGUCCUAUGUAUAAGCUUUAUAAUAUUUUCUCUUAAUAUUUUGAUUUGUCAUAAAUUUCAAUUAUACCAUGUGUCUCUUGCAUUAUUCUUUUCUUCCUAAAAACAAACUACUAUGUGUGUAGAGAUAAUGGGUGGACUGAUUAACGGAUGGUUGCCUCUUAAGCACCGUUACCAUUAAUGACAAUUGCAACAAAUUCAGUACAUCUCUAAAAAUAUAUUAUAACCUUUGGCAGUUUAGACACACUUGCUGUAAAUAUUAUUAGAACAGAGGAGAAUAGAAAUUUUUUGAACAUGUACUCAGUGCAUUGAAUUAUAGGAAAGUCCCUGAAAGCUAACAACUUAAUGUGGUGAUAUUUUAGAAAGUAAAAUCUUAUUUAUCAAAUUUUUAACAUUUAUUAUUGCAGCUGAAUUAUUCAUAAUUUGAAUGUAUUUUAUUUUAAAAGUCUAGCCUUAUGUAUAACCAUUAUCAUUUUCCUUAGCAAAAUUCGACAGUCUAUUUUAAUUUUUAUUAUAAUCUUUAGAUUUUAUUAGAAGAUACAGCAGCAUAACAUAGCAUUCUCAAACCCGAUUAAUCUGUGAAUUGGACGUUUCUGCAGCUAUGUUAAACUAAUAGUUUAUGUCCUUUAUUACCAGUUACUAUGCUGAUGUAUAACAGACUAUAUAAAAAAUGGGAAAAAGCUAAUACUUUAUUUUAACAUAAAACGUGAUCAUGUUUGAAAAUUAUAUUUUAUGUUACUUGAUGCUUUAUUAUUAAUUUGUGACUAUGCAAUAUUUUCACUUAAAUAGAUAACAUAAGAGUUUUUUUUAUCAUUUAUUUAUAUAUUUAUUUGUCAGUCUUCAUCUGUUUGGCUUUAUUUAG